rnacentral:tmRNA from 1 species
GGGGGCGAAUUGGAUUCGACUGCGGUAGAUGGAGCUUAAACUGCAUGCCGAGGUGCCCAGGCCUCGUUAAAAAGGGCAACAAAAUUUAAGUGCCGAUUACGAAGCAUUACCUGUAGCAGCAUAAAAUAAGCUGCUACCGUCUCUCACCAUCUUCCUCCUGGGAUGGGGAUGAGGCGUCGCCAACAGGAGGAACUGUAUAGCCUUUUCCUGAAGGGGUUAUACAGUUACACUACUUCAGGAUAGGUUUCCGUGGCCUGCCUGAAAGCCUCCGGAAGCUGAAUCAGCAAUUUCAGGCUAAGCAUGUAGAUGUUUAAGUAACCUUACUGCAGGACGCGGGUUCGAUUCCCGCCGCCUCCACAG